CACGUAGGGGGCAAGCGUUGUCCGGAAUCAUUGGGCGUAAAGAGCUCGUAGGCGGCUCAGUAAGUCGGGUGUGAAACCUCCAGGCUCAACCUGGAGACGCCACCCGAUACUGCUGUGGCUAGAGUCCAGUAGGGGAGUGUGGAAUUCCCGGUGUAGCGGUGAAAUGCGCAGAUAUCGGGAGGAACACCAGCGGCGAAGGCGGCACUCUGGGCUGGUACUGACGCUGAGGAGCGAAAGCGUGGGGAGCGAACGGG
rnacentral:rRNA from 1 species